CACGUAGGGCGCGAGCGUUGUCCGGAAUCACUGGGCGUAAAGGGUGCGUAGGCGGGUCUUUAAGUCAGGGGUGAAAUCCUGGAGCUCAACUCCAGAACUGCCUUUGAUACUGAGGAUCUUGAGUUCGGGAGAGGUGAGUGGAACUGCGAGUGUAGAGGUGAAAUUCGUAGAUAUUCGCAAGAACACCAGUGGCGAAGGCGGCUCACUGGCCCGAUACUGACGCUGAGGCACGAAAGCGUGGGGAGCAAACAGG
rnacentral:rRNA from 1 species